CGAAAAUCUCAAAUAGAGUAUAAAUAACUGAAUUAAUGUCAGUAUAACAACAUUGUUCCAACAUGUUUUUAGGUGUGUUGAAUCAUUUAAUAAACCGUUAGAGGGAAGAGAAACAUUCUUGGAGAGAGUGAGCAGUCAGCUUUUGGGGGAGCUGUCGUGUGUUUACUAGACGAGAGCAAUGCGAGAGAGAGAGAGAGAGCGAGAGAGGGAGGACUGACGGGGUGAGUGAGUGAGUGAGUGAGUGAGUGAGUGAGGGAGGAGAGAGAGAGAAACUUUGGGGGAGCUGUCGUGUGUUUACUAGACGAGAGCAAUGCGAGAGAGAGAGAGAGAGCGAGAGAGGGAGGACUGACGGGGUGAGUGAGUGAGUGAGUGAGUGAGUGAGUGAGGGAGGGAGAGAGAGAGAAAACUUUUCAGUUUUAAAGAGCGAGAGGAAGCGUGUGCUGGAGUCCCAACCAUGCAGGAGGAGCCAGGAGAAACUCUGAGAGGUGCCAAUAACAAGGGGUCAAUGUGGUUAUGCCCUCUAUGUCAGGAAAGUCAACCAGACCGUGAGAAUCUCUCUCAUCACCUUACAGACAAACACAAUGUCCUCCCUGCUUGCCUUGAUAAGUUACUGGAUAUUGCGGCUCCUAAGCACCGUUCCAUUGCUGAAGAAGAAGAAUCCAAAGCCCAAAUGAUGCAGAUGACGAAUCUCAGCUGAAACAUUUAGAGAACACAAAAUCCCCCUCAAUGGCUUCCCAAAAUGAGAGCAAAUCUACAGAUGCAGGUGACAAGGGUGGUUCUUCUCAGGAAAAAGAGUUGGAUGAAGAGAUGGAGGGAGGGAGAAAUGCGGAAAGUGAUGCGGGGGGGCUGGAGUCAGAUCAGGACAAUGCAGAGCAAACUAUAAAAACAUCAGAGGCUUCUGUCAGCAAUGGCAGAUCUGUCUGUAAAAACGUGCCUCUGAAGGUGACAACCGUCCAUUCAGUGUAAUGCGUGUU
rnacentral:lncRNA from 1 species